GUACCUUUCAAGUGUAGUAUAGCAUAUGUUCUUAUCAGUUUAAUAUUUGAUAUGUAAGCCAUGUGCUCACUUUGAUGUUAAAUUUAUUUUUUAUGCUGGGAGAGGAUUCACCACAGUGGUCUGCUGUUGGGAUCCUCAAGCCUCACCUAGGUGUUGCACAAUUGCUAUGGCCAGGCGCACCUCAA
rnacentral:snRNA from 2 species